UAGCCUAGUGGUUAAUGCUCUGGAUCGCCAAUCCUGAUACGGCGGGUUCGAUUCCCGU
rnacentral:tRNA from 1 species